CAUAAACUGGAACGUUGUCCUGCACCAGCUGGCAGUGAAAAGCCACAAGAUGGCCAUUAUAAUAUCCUGCCGGGGCCAAACUGAUGAUCCCAGAGUUGCUGGGGAACACAAGUCAUUUGGGGCGGCCCAAAUGUUCUUGGAGAUUGACGAGUUUCGCUGGCUGGAGAGGUGGCUGUAGCUGCGGGCGGCCAGUAAGCCACCGAACCAGCUGUAUUUUGGGAAGGGCCCUUGUUAAAACUUCUUGCACAACCUGCAGGUAGCGUGUGCGGAGAUGGGCCUUAAAAGGUGCCCCAACUUCACCAACCUGAGGACCACUGUGUCUGCUCAUGCCGUUUUAAGGCCAAGAACAACCGGCCUGCCGAUUAGCGGAAGAUGGUGGCCACCUUUAUGUGCCACA